rnacentral:tRNA from 1 species
UAAGUAGAAGCCAAACUAGCGGCGCCUAACUGUUAAUUAGGCCAUUAUAGAUUUCUAUCUAUUU